AGAUUUGUGCAGCGGCAGUACCGUAAGCCGAUGAGGUUUAUCCGAGGCACGAUUGUUGCCAAUUGAAAAACUAAGUAC
rnacentral:snRNA from 1 species